GCCAUAGGACAAAAUCAUUGAAGGAGAAGAACCAGAAUCUUUUGGAUCUUCAGUGAAAAAUUAAUGAAUAAGAGAUGAAGAUUUUUGACCAGCAUAUCUAGGCCGAGAAGAACAAGGAGCCAGAGCCAAGGCUUCAAGAGGCAACUAAGGCCUAUGAAAUUCAUGAGAAGGCCAUAGAGGCCUUAAAGAAACAGGUUAAAUAAGAGCAGGAGAAGAUGGCAAAGGUGGUGGAAUUGUACCGAGCCUGUGAAGAGUUUGAAGAGGAGGUUAGUGAGAGCUUCGAGUGGGCAUAUAACUAUGGGU
rnacentral:lncRNA from 1 species